CGGAUGAUCUUGUCCUGAUGGCUGAAAAUAAUUCUUCAACUUGCCAUUCGAUAAAAUAAACUCUCACAAAUUUUUGCUCUUGGUCGGGACGAUCUAUAAAUAACAACAAAUCAAAAAUCCUUUUCUCUUCAAAUGCUUUAGACAAUGCCAUUGCUAACACUUUAAAAUUCUUCAACAUGACUCACUAUCAGAACUUUGGCAAAUACCUUGGCUUCCCG
rnacentral:lncRNA from 1 species